rnacentral:rRNA from 1 species
GACAGAGGUGGCGACCGUUGUUCGGAAUCACUGGGCAUAAAGCGCGUGUAGGCGGCAUUGUAAGUCGGGUGUGAAAUCCCUCGGCCGUAACCGACGGAAGUUAGUCGCUCGAAACUAACCUUCGUCUUGUAGGAGUCAGAGGGGAGGCCUGGAAGUUACCUGGUGGAGCGGUGAAAUAGCGUUGAUAUCAGGAGGAACACCGGCGGCGAAGGCGAGGCUCUGGCUGAUUUCUGACGCUGAGACGCGAAAGCU